rnacentral:rRNA from 1 species
CCUACGGGAGGCAGCAGUGAGGAAUAUUGGUCAAUGGACGAGAGUCUGAACCAGCCAAGUAGCGUGAAGGAUGACUGCCCUAUGGGUUGUAAACUUCUUUUAUAAAGGAAUAAAACGAGGCACGUGUGCCUUUUUGCAUGUACUUUAUGAAUAAGGAUCGGCUAACUCCGUUCCAGCAGCCGCGGUAAUACGGAGGAUCCGAGCGUUAUCCGGAUUUGUUGGGUUUAAAGGGAGCGUAGAUGGGUUGUUAAGUCAGUUGUGAAAGUUUGCGGCUCAACCGUAAAAUUGCAAUUGAUACUGGCAGUCUUGAGUACAGUUGAGGUAGGCGGAAUUCGUGGUGUAGCGGUGAAAUGCUUAGAUAUCACGAAGAACCCCGAUUGCGAAGGCAGCUUACUAAACUGUGACUGACAUUGAUGCUCGAAAGUGUGGGUAUCAAACAGGAUUAGAUACCCGGGUAGUC